rnacentral:rRNA from 1 species
UACGUAGGGUGCGAGCGUUAAUCGGAAUUACUGGGCGUAAAGCGUGCGCAGGCGGUUUUGUAAGCCAGAUGUGAAAGCCCCGGGCUCAACCUGGGAAUGGCAUUUGGGACUGCAAGGCUUGAGUGCGGCAGAGGAGACUGGAAUUCCUGGUGUAGCAGUGAAAUGCGUAGAUAUCGUAAGGAAGACCAGUGGCGAAGGCGGGUCUCUGGACAGUUCCUGACGCUGAGGCACGAAGGCCAGGGGAGCAAACGGG